rnacentral:snoRNA from 1 species
UCCCAAUGAAGAAGUAUGCACAUGUCUUACUUCCUGUCCUCGCCUCAGAGCCUGUAAAGGUAAAAUGAUGUUUAAUUAGCAUAUGCUAAAUGUACAAGGGUGAUAUUUUCACACAUAUAAAAACUCAUCCCCUGGGCUGGGAA